ACAAUACAGAGAGGUAGCACAUUACCAGCUGUCAACAAAUGCACCGUCUGCUGUUCCAUGUACCACUGUCCGUUCUGUACCACGACUUCUUACAAACCCUCAAAGAGAAGUAAAUUACAGAAUCAUCUUCAGCGUCACUUAUCAAGAGCCAUCGUCCAUGACGAUUAUACAAUACACCAGUGCGGACUAGGUUGCAGGACAAAAUUACACUACCAUUGUGUAUAUUGUUCUUUAAUGAUAUACCGACAGCAGAUCUUUGUGGCCCAUCUCAAAGUAUGUAAGAUCCGCAAUCUGCCCUUAACUGCCAGUGUAUCAACCACCCUUCUUGAAGUGCCACCCUUGACUGCCAGUGUAUCAACCACCUUUCCUGAAGUGCCACCCUUCACUGCCAACAGGAGUGAAGAGGUGGACGCAAGUCCAGUAGAGCAGAGUCACAUGGGAGCCUUCCAGCCUUCCAGAUCAGUCCUUCCUUCAUUGGAUCCCCCCUCGGAUGACUCACCCGAGAUCGCCCGCGUAGUCACAAGGACUUCCUCUUCCUCCGACCCUAUAGCCCCCUCCUCUCCCUCAACAUCUCACCCAGACUCAUUCUCAGACCUCCCUCCGCCCCCCCCAUACCCCUCCUCCUCCUCUAUCCCCCCACACUCUUCCUCGUUCCCGGCCUUCCCCUCUUCAUCAUCCUCUCCCCUU